CCGGCCCACGUGCCGCCCACCGGCGCCUUGACGGCAGGGAGAGGUCGAGCUUCCAGGGAGCGGGCGCCCGGCGCGGGGCUCCCAGCCUGUCUGUACCUGGUCGAGACACCCCGUGCCAGAGGCGGAACAUGUAUGAAAUGCCAGGUGCCCAGAGGACCCAGGCAGUCCGUCAUUCACAUACCAACCCACGUGCAGGCUUCAAUUCAACGUUGAAGCCAUUUGGGCCUGGGCUUUUUUGAUGACUUAUUUGAUUCAUAGUUCUUUGGUUACUAAUUGAGUCUGUUGACUUGUUAUAGGUCUGUUGAGAUUGUCUAUUUUUUCUUGAGUCAGCCGUCUGAAAAGAACACGAGGUGGACAGGGCAGAGCGGUCAAGGAAAGCCAUAGGAGGGCACUUAUUUGAGCAAAGACCGGCGGGACGUGGGCGUCGAGGGUAAGGAUAUCUGCAGAAGUAGUGUCUUGAGCAAGGAGCACGGCAGACAGAGCCUCUGAGACACGAGAGCCUGGAGUGUAAGAAACACAGUAGAGGCCACUAAGUCGAGAACGCAGGAGCUGGAAGGACUGGUAGGAAAUGGGAGGUGGGGACAUGGAGGGAUGCGGACAGGUCCUGCACAGUCAGAACUGUGGCCCCUUCUCUGCAGGAAAUGGGCAGCCUUCGGAAGACUGAGCACACGGAAGGAUAUGACUAACCCUUUAAAAGGGUCAUUCUGACUCCUGGGUGAAGAACAGACUAGGAAGGGCUGAGAAGGAGGCAGGAGGCCAUCCACUGUCAUAUGGGAUGUGGAGUGUGACCCGGAAAGGUCAACUGCCCUGUCUAGAAGCUCCAAUACAAUAUUGACUAGAAGCGGCAAGAGUGGACAUCCUUGUCUUGCUCCUGAUUUCAGGGAGGAGGCAUCCAGUCUUUCACCUUUGGGUAUGAUGAUAGCUGUGGGUGCUUAAAAAAUAGGUUUUAUCAGGCUGGGCACAGUGGCUCACGCCUGUAAUCCCAACCCUUUGGGAGGUCGAGGCGGGCGGAUCACUUGAGGUCCAGAGUUUGAGACCAGCCUGGCCAACAUGGAGAAAUCCCAUCUCUACUAAAAAUACAAAAAGUUAGCUGAGGUUGGUGGCCGG
rnacentral:lncRNA from 1 species